rnacentral:rRNA from 1 species
UGAAUUGACGGGGCCGCACAAGCGGUGGAGCACGUGGUUUAAUUCGAUGCAACGCGAAGAACCUUACCUGGGCUUGACAUCCCGGGAAUCCCUUGGAAACAAGGGAGUGCCUUCGGGGAACCUGGAGACAGGUGCUGCAUGGCUGUCGUCAGCUCGUGUCGUGAGAUGUUGGGUUAAGUCCCGCAACGAGCGCAACCCUUGUCAUUAGUUGCCAUCAUUUGGUUGGGCACUCUAAUGAGACUGCCGGUGACAAACCGGAGGAAGGUGGGGAUGACGUCAAGUCCUCAUGGCCCUUAUAGGUGGGGCUACACACGUCAUACAAUGGAUGGUACAAAGGGUCGCCAACCCGCGAGGGGGAGCCAAUCCCAUAAAGCCAUUCGUAGUCCGGAUCGCAGUCUGCAACUCGACUGCGUGAAGUCGGAAUCGCUAGUAAUCGUGGAUCAGAAUGUCACGGUGAAUACGUUCCCGGGCCUU